UCCUGGGUGGCUCAGUUGGUUAAGCACCUGACUUUGGCUCAGGUCAUGAUCUCACAGUCCGUGGGUUCGAGCCCCAUGUCAGGCU
rnacentral:tRNA from 1 species